UACGUAGGGUGCAAGCGUGAAUCGGAAUUACUGGGCGUAAAGCGUGCGCAGGCGGUUUUGUAAGUCUGUCGUGAAAUCCCCGGGCUUAACCUGGGAAUUGCGAUGGAGACUGCAAGGCUGGAGUUUGGCAGAGGGGGGUAGAAUUCCACGUGUAGCGGUGAAAUGCGUAGAUAUGCGGAGGAACACCGAUGGCGAAGGCAAUCCCCUGGGCCUGCACUGACGCUCAUGCACGAAAGCGUGGGGAGCAAACAGG
rnacentral:rRNA from 1 species